rnacentral:rRNA from 1 species
GACGAGGGAUCCUAGCGUUGUUCGGAAUCAUUGGGCGUAAAGCGGGUGUAGGUGGCUAUGUAAGUCAGAUGUGAAAGCCCAGGGCUUAACCCUGGAAGUGCAUUUGAUACUGCGUAGCUUGAGUGUGGGAGAGGAUAGUAGAAUUCCUGGUGUAGUGGUGAAAUACGUAGAUAUCAGGAGGAAUACCGGAGGCGAAGGCGGCUAUCUGGCCCAACACUGACACUCAGACCCGAAAGCUAGGGGAGCGAAUGGG